GGAUAACUUCGCCCUCGAAACACAGAACGUACUGAAUAAUCGACCCAUUUGCCAAGCAGAGUCUCCCGAAAUCUUCCCUCUUUGCCUUUAAAAUGCGGCGUGUUCGAAUUCUAAUCACUUUUACGCGAGAAAGCCGGACAAGGAGUUUAGUUGGUUGCCGGCAAGUCUCCUGCUGCUCAUGGUGUUUCACGAUCAGUAUUGGAAAUCGUGUAGGUUCGUUUGGGUUUGAUCACUUCUAUCACCAUCCAUGGCAUAUUUAUUCGUGUUCGUGGAAAUUUGUCCGGGUUUGUGUCGCAUGUUCUAUCUUUGAGUCGUUGCCAUCAUUGUUAAAUGUUGUCGUUGUCGACUAACGCACAUGGGUUAUUGAUCAUUGAGGUGAGAGUUUGCUCAACUUUAUCUUCAUCAAUUCUUUCUCUAUCAUUUUUUUCUCUUUCUCUCUCUAGAUUGGGUGUUUCUAUGAAGUUUCAUCACGAACUAAGGACUGAGUUUGGACGUCAUCAUUGUUGUUGGUCGAUUUCUACUAUUUUGUGCUUGUCGGAGAUUCGGCCAACUACUGUUGGACUUUAAGGAAGUUGAUGUUUGUUCGAGAAAUUGAAAUUUGGAUCAAGUGUUGUAAAUAAUUUCCACACCCCUUCCAAAAUUUAGGUCUUGCGCAAAUCUAUUGAAGUGAAGAAACCGCCUAGCAAAUUAAGUAUACACCGCAACAAAAUUGGAAUUCCAUGACAUUAAAACCUGUCAGAUUCAAAAUUCUUGACAGUUAUUUUAAGUCAUUGUAUCACCUAUAAAGGACUUACAUCUUGAAGGUAGUUCGGUGGAGCGAAGAAGAGAGAGUCUAUGAGGAGGACCUGACAUUUGAAAAGGUUAAGAAGAUGGGACUCAGAGAGAAAUGACAGAAAGUACUCAUUUGGCAAUUGGCUCUCGUGAUAAGAAGAAAAGGAAAUUUGUGGAUGCUACAAAAGGGACAUCUCAGCAGAAUAAAACCAAGAAACAAGCUACUGAAAAUCCUUGUUUUUUCUACAAAUAGGAAGGUCACUUCAAGAAAGAUUGUCCUAGGUACACUAAGUGGCAUGUAACGAAGGGGUUGCCUAUAGAGCCGACCGCCAAGUGAUGCUGAAAGAUUCAUCUAUGUGGGCGAUAGCAAAGCAGUUUUAGUUAAAGCUAUUGGGAAUUUUAGAUUAUUUUUAAAAAUUGGUUGUUAUUUCAAUUUGAAUGAGACUUUUGUUGUACCGUCAUUUAGACGGAAUUUAGUUUCUAUUUCUAGU